rnacentral:rRNA from 1 species
GAUCCUGGCUCAGAUUGAACGCUGGCGGCAGGCUUAACACAUGCAAGUCGAACGGUAACAGGAGAAAGCUUGCUUUUCUUGACUUAGUGGCGAACGGGUGAGUAACGCGUGAGUAACCUGCCCUGGAGUGGGGACAACAGUUGGAAACGACUGCUAAUACCGCAUAAGCCCACGGAUCCGCAUGGAUCUGCGGGAAAAGGAUUUAUUCGCUUCAGGAUGGACUCGCGUCCAAUUAGCUAGUUGG